rnacentral:tRNA from 1 species
GGAAGCUCGCCGGAGUUGGAGAGCCGGGGCAGACUGUAAAUCUGUUGUUGUAUGCUGAGUAGGUUCGAAUCCUACAGCUUCCACAA